UUAUAAACAAACGACAAUAAUGCGGGCUAGGCGGAGAUGUCGUGCGUUAGGCGGUGACAGGUGGCGUGGGCCUAUACGGGGUAGGGGUCCACCCUUUAAAAGGAAACAAAACAAAAAACUAAAACUGAAGCAGUUCGAGCUAGUGUUCUCUCACUCCGCCGUGCUCCACCGCCCCCCGACGCUCUACACCGGCGGAUCCGAUGGCUCCGCUUCCCGCCUCGGUAACCUCACCCUCCCUCUCUCAAUUUCAAGCUUGAGUUUGUAUGAAUGAAUUGAAUUUCUGUAGGAACUAUAUGAGAAGGCGGAAGAGAUGGUGAGGAACUUACGGUGGCAGAGAAGGCGGACGUCACGUGAGCAGGCACGUGGAGGAGGGUUUAGGCUUUGGGGGACUGACCACCGUGUACGAGCUGUUCUGAGUAUAAUUCGUC
rnacentral:lncRNA from 1 species